AUCGAAUGUAAAAUAUUAAAUUAAAAGAAAUUUAUAAAUAAAAAAAGGACGUACAUAUUUCGUACUUGAGUGCAGCCGUUGUUGUUGGUGGGAAGUAGGGAAGGUAGGAUACAGACGGAAAUUGAAUGUAUAUCUGUAAGCAACGAUAAACCAUUUCUAAUGAAAAACGAUUCUGAGCUGAGUUCAUUUGAUAGUGCUGUACUGUUGCUUUGUUAGCAAUAUAUAUGUCAUAUUAUGGUAAAAUAGUUACAAAAAUGUGCGUUUUCAUGACAACAAUGAUUGUUUGAAAAAUAAUAAUAUAAUAAAACUUUAAUUAUAACAAAAAAUAAAUAAAAACGGUUGUCCUUGACAACCUUAUUUAUAAUCUUUCAAUUUUUUUUAAUUUAAAGAACCCGAUUUUUCUCAUUGUCUUGAAUAUUAAUGAUAAUUUAAAAAAAAUUAGACCCCUCUAAAGUACCACCCAGAGAACAAUUCCUUUCAGAAAAGGUACUACACUUGAUAAUCGGAGUAAACUUUUUAGUAGAAAAAUUGUUCACAUAAAAAAAUAAAAUAAAAAUGAACAUCUUUGUAAUACAUUCGUUGCUUCGCAGAAUCUAAAAAGUUUUAAAAAUCGUAAGAAAAUGAUUAAUUUUUAGUUAAAAUUACUGAAAUAUAUUUAGGUAC